rnacentral:tRNA from 1 species
GGGUGCCAAUCCCGCUCUUACCAC